GACACAUCCCCAUCCUAUGAUAUUGAUACCUGGUUGAGUGGCUCAUUCCAUGCCAUGAAUAAUGAACAGGAUGAUUUCAGAAAGAGUGGGAAAGAACUACAUGAACUGAUGCAGAGUAAAAUGAGCAGAACCAGAAGAACAUUAUACAA
rnacentral:lncRNA from 1 species